CCGAAAGUAGGGUGGGGAGAGUGAGUCAUAGGCUCUGGCCCGCUGCUAAACGAGUCUUCCGGGGCGAGGUCCGGGGUCCUAGGACUGGAAGCCGAUUCUGAAAGGCCGGGGUCAGGCCUGGUGUCCCCUGAGAAAGACGUUCUUCCACCAACCCUUUAGCAUUCCGGGGAGUGUCAUGAGAGUGCCAGUACAGUUCCCCUCUCUCCGGUUACCCUAGGCCCUAGCUGAUUCCUAGGGACCUAGGAAUCAGGAGUGUCUCUGCUUUGCUGGUGCCCUAAACACGUGCUCGGACAGGGUGAUAGGCCAGAGGGAGUCAUCCAGAAAAAUGUUCCUGUACACGCACCCGGAGGCUUUUGCAGGAGGCGGCUGUUGGAGAACCGGGAAAACAAGCCAAGAAACAAGAGAGAGGAAGAAGACCACGCCUCGCCUGGCAGAUUCCUAAUGGCCCAGGAGACCUGAGGCUUUACUGUGGGAGGCCGGUGGGGGGGUUGGGGGGGUGCUGGCUCGGGUGGGAGGGAAGGGCAGGCCGAAGGACAGCCACUUGCUGGUCGGUGACCUUGGGCGGGAUGCUGCCUGCUUCCCUCUGGUGAGAACGGGGAGGAGGGGGGCAGGGGCAGGGCUGGCCAGCUGAGGUCACAGGAAGGCCCCUUCCAGCCUGAAACGCGAUCUCGGGAUGUGGGGCCUGCCAACCUGCAGCGACCCUGGGCCAGCAGAGAUGAAAGGCUGCCUGUCCCCAGCUUCCGGACCCCCGAGGCCCCAGUGCCUCAGACUUGAAGGGCAGCAAAGCUGCUGCAGCUGGCUGGAGCCGGUUUCUGGACUCCCCACCCCACCUGAUGUCAUCCAACCCUCCCUUCCCUGUUUGGCUGGGGACCCUCAGGCCCAGAGAGGGCUGUUGACCUACCGGAGGUCACACAGCAAGUUGGAGGCUGAGCCAGGGCUCACCACAAAGUCUUUGGGCUCCAAGUCCAGUCCUCAUUCCCUUUCCCAGAAACUUGGCUGCCGGGGGCCUUACCCCAGGGAGUGGGAGAGAGAGACCCAGGGUUAGGGGAGACAGUUGGAAGCUGUGUCCUUUGAAGUCAAGACUUAAUGUUGACUAAAGUGCUUUCUUUUCCUUCUUUCUCUCUCUCUCUUUUUUUUUUUUUUUAAGACAAAAAAGAACGUUCCAGGCCCCUGCCAUGAGCCUGGACUUGCUCUGUUGGCAGGGGAAGGAAUGCAGCUCUGGCCGCCACAGCCGCUGGUGGCCAGCUGCAGCCUCCGCUCCUGCCGCUCCCACCCCAGUGGGCGCGGGGACAAAGGCCUCUUCUCAGGCUGAUCCCCUCCAGCUCCCUGGAUCAGUGGGGGCAGAGCAUCGACCCAGAGGCUUGGUUACAGACCAGCUAAGUCGCCGUCCCUCUCUGGGCCAUAGUGUCUUUUCUAGAAAAUGGGAGCCAAGGAUUUGCCUGACCUACUUCUCAACAUUAUGUGGGGGCUCCAAAGAGGUAAAGUUACAGAAAUACAGACCUCUCUCGGCGCCUCCUUCUGCCUGAGGGUCUGCCUACUCAGACAGCCCUCUGCCUCACCGGACCCUCCCUUCUUCCUCGAGCUUCACCUGGCCAGCCCCAACUCACUCAGCUCGGCUCAGCAGGACCAUCCCUCGCUCUAGGGAGCCUUCCCUCACCUCCAGACUGCACUGCUCCUUCAGGGUAUUUAUCACUGUUGUAAUUAAAUAAUUAAUUGUGUAAUUGGA